ACCCUUUCCCUACAUGACGGUCUUCCUCGAUCGUCUCAUAGUGAGCUGGGGAAAAUGUUUUUGCUAGUAGUAGUGUGUGCGCUCAUGAAGCUAGAUUCAAUCAAGGAAGGCCAUUAAGUUAAAAUGCUAACUAUCUUUAGUUGAUUUUCUUCCUUUUUUCUCUUUUUUUAAUGGAGGUAUUUAGUUGUUACAAUGAUUUUGGUAUAAUAUAUACUCAAGGAAAAUGUUUUAUGGCUGUCAGAAGAUUAUAACAAACAUCAACUAUAGUCUAUCUGCAUAUUAUAUAUAAAUUGGAAUUCGACAAAACAAACAUUUAAGAUACACAAGAAGAAUUCAGUAAA